ACAAACUUGGUCAUUUAGAGGAAGUAAAAGUCGUAACAAGGUAACCGUAGGUGAACCUGCGGUUGGAUCAUUAUCAAUUUACUUUUUUUUUUAUUUUAUUUUAAAAUAAAAAAAAAAUAAACACCCAUUGUGAACUGGUAAUUGUUUUUGGUGGUCUUGAGGAGUGAGUUCCUCGCUCUCAGAUCCUUAGAAGACUGAAGUCUUUCUGGACUUUGAAAGCAGGCCACCAAAGGACUCCUUCACUGUUUUUUCAAGGGGGGGGUCCGCUUUCUACUUUAAACCCAACCAUAUCUCUACUUUUCUUUCUAUUAAAUGUCUUUGAUGAAAAAUUGGCCAAAUGAGAAAACAACUUUUAACAACGGAUCUCUUGGCUCUCGCAUCGAUGAAGAACGCAGC
rnacentral:misc_RNA from 1 species